CCUACGGGUGGCAGCAGUCGAGAAUCAUUCACAAUGGGGGAAACCCUGAUGGUGCGACGCCGCGUGGGGGAAUGAAGGUCUUCGGAUUGUAAACCCCUGUCAUGUGGGGGCAAAUUAAAAAGAUAGUCCCACAAGAGGAAGAGACGGCUAACUCUGUGCAAGCAGCCGCGGUAAUACAGAGGUCUCAAGCGUUGUUCGGAAUAACUGGGCUUAAAGCGUGCGUAGGCUGUUUCGUAAGUCGUGUGUGAAAGGCGCGGGCUCAACCCGCGGACGGCACAUGAUAAUGCGAGACUAGAGUGAUGGAGGGGGAACCGGAAUUCUCGGUGUAGCAGUGAAAUGCGUAGAUAUCGAGAGGAACACUCGUGGCGAAGGCGGGUUCCUGGACAUUAACUGACGCUGAGGCACGAAGGCCAGGGGAGCGAAAGGGAUUAGAUACCCCAGUAGUC
rnacentral:rRNA from 1 species